AACGUAGGUGGCGAGCGUUAUCCGGAAUACUGGGCGUAAAGCGUGUGCAGGCGGGCUAGCAAGUGGUGUAUGAAAGCUCCCGGCUCAACCGGGAAGGGGUUAUGCCAGACUGCUAGUCUUGAGUGCGGGUAGGGGAGUGUGGAAUUCCCGGUGUAGCGGUGAAAUGCGCAGAUAUCGGGAGGAACACCAGUAGCGAAGGCGGCACUCUGGGCCGGUACUGACGCUGAGGAGCGAAAGCGUGGGGAGCGAACAGG
rnacentral:rRNA from 1 species